AUGUGGUUUAAUUCGAAGAUACGCGAAGAACCUUACCUGGCCUUGACAUUGAUAGAAUCCUGUAGAGAUACGGGAGUGCUAGCUUGCUAGAACUUGAAAACAGGUGCUGCACGGCUGUCGUCAGCUCGUGUCGUGAGAUGUUGGGUUAAGUCCCGCAACGAGCGCAACCCUCGUCAUUAGUUGCUAACAGUUCGGCUGAGAACUCUAAUGAGACUGCCUUCGUAAGGAGGAGGAAGGUGAGGACGACGUCAAGUCAUCAUGGCCCUUAUGGCCAGGGCUACACACGUGCUACAAUGGGGUGUACAGAAAGCUGCGAUACGGUGACGUGGAGCAAAUCUCAAAAACACCUCCCAGUUCGGAUUGUUCUCUGCAACUCGAGAACAUGAAGUUGGAAUCGCUAGUAAUCGUAGAUCAGCAAUGCUACGGUGAAUACGUUCCCGGGUCUU
rnacentral:rRNA from 1 species